AUGGAGACAGAGCUGCAUGGGAAACAAAGCAGCAUCGUGGCAGCAUAGUACAAUGUUAAGAGCAUCUAUGGACUUCGAAAGCUUGGGUUUCAGCCCCAUACCUGAUAGUCUCAAAUGUCAUGUCAAAGUCUCAGAUUCUUCACCUGAAAAAUAAAUAACAGUUUAUGUUUGGGGAAAGAAGUAGAAAUGGAGACUUGAAACGGAAAUUAUUUAGAUUCCACACUUCCAGGUAAAAUGAACCUCUUCAAUAUUUGAUACCAAUGGAAAACUAUAAUUUUUGUUUUUCAAAAUGUCUAACUACAAUAAAGAACAUCAAAAUGUA